rnacentral:lncRNA from 1 species
CCAAUGGGGGAAACCAUUGCAUUUCAGGAGUUCUACCAUCUAUGAAUGCAAGUUUUGCCUGCUUUUGAAUUUUAUACAGAGUCUGACUCUGUUGCCUACGCUAGAGUACAAUGGUACCAUCUCAGCUCACUGCGACUUCAACCCCACCAGGUUCAAGCAAUUCUCCUGUCUCAGCCUCCUGAGUAGCUGGGAUUACAGGUGACUGCCACCACACCCGGCUAAUUUUUGUAUUUUUAGUAGAGACAGGGAUUUGCCAUGUUGGCC